CAACUCGACACCCAUUCUCUUCCUCUCUCUGAUUCUCUCUCCCUCUCUCUCAGAUUCUCUCCCAGCCUCUCUCUCUCUCUCUGCGUACUCUCUCUCUUUCUCUCAUGCAUGCAGUUGUUUUGGGCAGAAAUCCUACCUGAUUGAUUUUGCAUAUACGCAUUUUACGGGGCUUAUUUUGAAUGAAUGUGAUUGUCUAGUUAGGGUGAUUUUGGGGUUGUGUGCGAUCCAUGUGAGGCAAUGAUUAUGGGUGAUCGGAGCUGUUCGAUUGAGGACCUACGAAAUGGACGGAAUUCCAAUCUGGUUUGUCAUCUUCCUAAAAAUGCACGGUCGUUUUGGUUCAAGCAACAUGGAAUUACGGAAGUAUUUCAGCCAAUGAGACUGAGAUGGAUGAGACCCGACUGAACAUUGAGGCUUAGAUCCCCAGACCACCUGAAUUUUAAACUAUUGAAUUCAAACAAAUUUCUACUCCUUAUCCCACUUGCUUUGAAUUGUGUUGGAGCCAUUGGAUUCUUUAGAUACAUCUAUUUAACCUUAUUUUCAUUUGUUCUAUUUGACUGCAGGAGAUGAUAUCCAAGCCCGAAAUUGGACAAUCACAAAGCUCCCAGCAGAAUAACUAUCAUAAAUUCCAUGGCAGUCAAUGAAGAUGGCAUUUUUGUAGUUCAUGCAUUACAACUUCCAUUCAUGUAUGGAGUAUAAUAGCAGAGGAGUGUCUUCAGAGGAUCACACAAUUUGUCAGUGAAAUGACCCUGUGUUCCACCACCGGUUAGCACACAAGAUCAAAUGAAUGAAUGGGCUAAGGUAAUCUGUGGCUACCAUGCCCUGCCUUUUCCAUCACACGGAGCUGAAUGGGCUAAGAGGCACAUAUUGACUUGGGCAAGAGCACAAUUGACAGAGAAGUAGUGGAAAAGGACAGUACCAUUGCUUUAGUUUAUGAUCUUAGACGA